rnacentral:rRNA from 1 species
AGCGAACGCUGGCGGCAGGCCUAACACAUGCAAGUCGAACGAACCUUUCGGGGUUAGUGGCGGACGGGUGAGUAACACGUGGGAACGUGCCUUUAGGUUCGGAAUAACUCAGGGAAACUUGUGCUAAUACCGAAUGUGCCCUUCGGGGGAAAGAUUAAUCGCCUUUAGAGCGGCCCGCGUCUGAUUAGCUUGUUGGGUGAGGUAAUGGCUCACCAAGGCGACGAUCAGUGGCUGGUCUGAGAGGAUGAUCAGCCACAUUGGGACUGAGACACGGCCCAAACUCCUACGGGAGGCAGCAGUGGGGAAUCUUGCGCAAUGGGCGAAAGCCUGACGCAGCCAUGCCGCGUGAAUGAUGAAGGUCUUAGGAUUGUAAAAUUCUUUCACCGGGGACGAUAAUGACGGUACCCGGAGAAGAAGCCCCGGCUAACUUCGUG